rnacentral:piRNA from 1 species
UGAUUCACUGAUCACUGAUGUGCUUGC